GCUGCCCGAUUCUUGAACUGCUGGACAAAACCAGUUAGGCCUUCCGACUUACUCAGUUGAACUUUCAUUUUUUUAAUAAAAGUGAAAUGAAACAGAUGAACUUCAUUGAAAGUCCACUUUUGUGUCAAAUCCACAAGAGAACAAGAAAUUCAAGUGAUGGGGAAGCACAAGCACAUACUCUUUGCCGCCACCUGAAGAUUCCAAGCAAACUCUGAAUGUACAGCCAGAGCUCUCCACUCGGGGGUACCAGGACUGUUGAGUUUAAUUCACAGACCCCAGCUACAGAACAGAAGAACAGAAGAAAAGGGCCUGAAGACGUCAGCCAAAGCUGGACCUCAGGCGGCUGAGACUGUC